rnacentral:lncRNA from 1 species
AUCAUCUUCCAAGCAGAGAAAAGCAAGGAUUUCCAACCAAAUCAAAGUAUCAAUGAAGUGAAAGAAAAACUGACUACCUAAACAAAGUCCACAAAUCAAGAGAAACAGGUAAAAUUGUACACAAGACAAAACAAAAAUUACCUAGAAAACAAAAAAAAAAAAAUUAACGCAGAAAACAUAAACUAACAACGAAAAAUCAGAAUCUCCCCCAACAGACCACACUUAAACUACACAAUGUCCUUAGUGUGUCACAAUCAUCAGAUCAGGAAUCAGAACAAUCAACAGAUCAUGGACAAGUGCAAUAAAAGCGAGAAAGGGAGGAGAAGGGAAAAGAAGACUCCCUUGAUCAUGGUGGCAGUUCCCAAUUUUGGACUUUCAGGGAGAUCUCUUCCACCACCGGAUUCAGCAAGGAAAUGUUGAAGAGGAAUUGCUUCAGUCUCCAAAUUUGAUCAAGCAAGGAGAUGUCCUCCACAGCUGGAUCUAAGAAGAAGUGAUUGUUGAUGAGUGGGUUCAGCUGGUGCCUAUUGUUCUUCAAAUUGUCGACACCUUUGUCUUCCACCGUG